rnacentral:rRNA from 1 species
GCUGGCGGCGUGCUUAACACAUGCAAGUCGCACGAGAACGCUUCAGCUUGCUGAAGUUAGUAAAGUGGCGCACGGGUGAGUAACGCGUGGGUAAUCUACCCUUGAAUUGGGGAUAACCCGCCGAAAGGCGGGCUAAUACCGAAUGACAUCGUAAAUAUUUAGGUGCUUAUGAUCAAAGAUGGCCUCUACAUGUAAGCUAUUGUUUGGGGAUGAGCCCGCGUACCAUUAGCUUGUUGGUAGGGUAAUGGCCUACCAAGGCUACAAUGGUUAGCUGGUCUGAGAGGAUGAUCAGCCACACUGGAACUGACACACGGUCCAGACUCCUACGGGAGGCAGCAGUGAGGAAUUUUGCGCAAUGGGGGAAACCCUGACGCAGCAACGCCGCGUGAGUGAUGAAGGCUUUCGGGUCGUAAAGCUCUGUCAAGUGGGAAGAACCCAUAUGGUGACAAUACCGCCAUAUGUUGACGGUACCACUGAAGGAAGCACCGGCUAACUCCGUGCCAGCAGCCGCGGUAAUACGGGGGGUGCGAGCGUUAUUCGGAAUUACUGGGCGUAAAGAGCGCGUA